CAGAGGGUACACACCGCCGGGCCGGUUCCUAGCCACGCUGGGCUCUCCCCCUACAGCUCACCCUGACCCGGAAACAGUACCCCGGAGCGGUGGCCCGGCGUGGAGGAGGUCGGGAAUACUUGCAGAUCUGAAAGGCAAGCGUUCAGCCUGAGGAAGGUGCAGAACAGUCUUGCCACCAAGACUGCCAGAAAGUCCAAUGACAGCCUUUUGGAAACUGGAGCUUUGUGAAGGUCACAGAACACCAGAAAAGGGUUUCUCUGUGUAGUUUUUGGUGCCUGUCCUGGGACUAAAGGUGUGCACCAACACCGCCCAGCAAAGUUCAUUGUUUUUCUAAGCAAGCCCAACAGGAAUUUACUUGUUGAUACCUCUGCUUAUCUCUCCAAUCUCACCUUCAGGAAGAUCCCUGGAAGAGAUGUGACUCUGCAAACUUGUCCUCCUACCUCCACAUGAGUGCAAUGACGGGCAUGUGUGCACUUAUGCAUGCACACAAAGUAAUAAAUGCUCUGCAGGGCAAGCUGCAAGUCUGAGGCUGACACGGCAGCGGGGAUGCCUGCACCACAGAGAGAGCAAAGACUCACAAACUGAGCGCUCCUCAAAGUACUGUGUAUCGAAAGUAUCACUUGUCAAUCACACACCUCUUCCACUCCGGUCAAAGAGAAAUUCAGAGCUUUUAUCUCAUGUGUAUUAAUGAGAAAUAAAAUUAAACGAGUAAUGCAUCUCA